AAAGUGACUAUGACAAAGAAUAGUAAAAACUACUAUAAAGAGAGAAAAUCCCUUGGCUGAAAGAUUUUCGUAAGUUUUGAACCUACUUUAGAGUCUGUAGUGAAAACUACCGGUAUAAUAGCCGAUAUUAGAUUGAGUAAAAAUUAGGUGGUACCGCGGAUAUUCUCGCCCUAAAG
rnacentral:misc_RNA from 1 species